rnacentral:rRNA from 1 species
GCGAAUGGCAAUUAAAUCAGCGGGUUUAUGGCCGUUAAAUGGCCCCUGUAAGAAAUCUUGAGACGUAGCCAAGCGAUGACCUGAGGGGAGUUUAAACCAGCCAACCGAGUUUGCUGCUUGGGCAGCCCGCUCGUUGUCAUAAAGGUGACAUUGGAUAAUGGUUAAAGACCGCAUGGUUACUUGAACUGUCUGCACUAUCGGUAAUCAGGGUUCGACUCCGGAGAGGGAGCUUGCAUCCAAGGGAGGCAGCAGGCGCGCAAAUUACCCACGUCCUGGUGACGAAAAAUACCGAUGCGGGACUCAUAAACGAGGCUCCGUAAUCCGGUUUAAAUCCUUUCACGAGGAUCAAUUGGAGGGCAAGUCUGGUGCCAGCAGGUCAACUCCAGCUCCAAUAGCGUAUAUUAAAGUUGCUGCAGUUAAAAAGCUCGUAGUUGGAUCUCGGUUGCACAUGUCUCGGGUGGUUGAGUUAGUGGCGCACAGGUUCCGCUUAAAAUAGCUUGCUGCUUCGAGCUGGCGUGGUAGCGGUGUCACCUUUCAGCCAUGGCAGUGCAAUACCCACAGGUGUAGGCGAGUGUCGUUCGCUUCACUUCAAUGAGGUCCGUCGGCUCGUUUACAUGCCUUUGGAUGCCCUUUCGUAAUCUGUGGGCGGAUGGCACGUUUACUUCCUGAAAAGUUUUGCAUGGAGGUGGAAUAGGACUUCGGUUCUAUUUUGUUGGUUUUCGGAUCCGAAGUCGUUCAAAAGAGACAGGCGGGGACGUCGUUGGUUGCGCUAGAGGUGAAAUUCUUGGGUCAUCAGACAAACUAAAGCGAAGGUUCGUCAAGCAUGUUUUCAUUGACCAUGAGCGAAACCGGGCUCGAAGACGAUCAGAUACCGUCCUAGUUCUGACCAAAACUGACGAUCCGUGGUGGUAGUAGUGCCUUCCCCACGGGCAGUCCCCGGGAAACCUUUACGUUUGGGUUCCGGGGGAAGUAUGGUUGCGUUGAAACUUAAAGGAAUUGACGGAAGGGCACCACCAGGAGUGCCCUGCGGCUUAAUUUGACUCAACACGGGACGUCACCCGGCCCGGACACUAUGAGGAUUGACAUUACAGCUCUUUCUUGAUUUGGUGGUUGGUGGCAUGGCCGUUCUUAGUUGGUGGCUUUUGUCUGGUUAAUUCCGAUAACGGUAGACUCUAGCCUGCUAAUUAGUACACCUGUCCCUUUCCUGUGCAAGCGGCGUUUCGGCGAUUCAUAGUUCAUCUGCUAUGGAUGGAUGCUUGUGUGUUGUUGGUGGUUGCUUCGGUAGCUGUCGGUGCCGCUUGUGUUCGCUGUAGUAGUGUCCCAGACCGGCGUUUGCUUCCGGGUACGGCGCGGGUGUGUGCUUAGAGGGACAAGUGGAAGAAAGCACACGAAAUUGUUGAACAGGUCCGCGCUACAAUGACGGUGCCAACGACGACCUUCUGACCCGAAAGGGUUGGGCAAACUGGUCAUAACGUCAUGACAGGGAUCGGGGCUUGGAAGUUCCCCGUGAACGAGGAAUUCCUAGUAAGUGCAAGGAUACCUGCGCUGAUUACCCGGGGCCCUUUGUACCCUGCCCGUUUUUAAAACCGAUUCAAUGGUUUGCGUUCCUUGGAGUGGCGCUAUUGUAGUGAGUCUCGCAUGAUAAGCUCGACAAGUGGGGGGGGGCCG